GACGAACGCUGGCGGCGUGCCUAACACAUGCAAGUCGAACGGAAAGGCCCUGCUUUUGUGGGGUGCUCGAGUGGCGAACGGGUGAGUAACACGUGAGUAACCUGCCCUUGACUUUGGGAUGACUUCAGGAAACUGGGGCUAAUACCGGAUAGGAGCUCCUGCUGCAUGGUGGGGGUUGGAAAGUUUCGGCGGUUGGGGAUGGACUCGCGGCUUAUCAGCUUGUUGGUGGGGUAGUGGCUUACCAAGGCUUUGACGGGUAGCCGGCCUGAGAGGGUGACCGGCCACAUUGGGACUGAGAUACGGCCCAGACUCCUACGGGAGGCAGCAGUGGGGAAUAUUGCACAAUGGGCGGAAGUCUGAUGCAGCAACGCCGCGUGCGGGAUGACGGCCUUCGGGUUGUAAACCGCUUUCGCCUGUGACGAAGCGUGAGUGACGGUAAUGGGUAAAGAAGCACCGGCUAACUACGUGCCAGCAGCCGCGGUGAUACGUAGGGUGCGAGCGUUGUCCGGAAUUAUUGGGCGUAAAGGGCUCGUAGGUGGUUGAUCGCGUCGGAAGUGUAAUCUUGGGGCUUAUUCCUGAGCGUGCUUUCGAUACGGGUUGACUUGAGGAGGGUAGGGGAGAAUGGAAUUCCUGGUGGAGCGGUGGAAUGCGCAGAUAUCAGGAGGAACACCAGUGGCGAAGGCGGUUCUCUGGGCCUUUCCUGACGCUGAGGAGCGAAAGCGUGGGGAGCGAACAGGCUUAGAUACCCUGGUAGUCCACGCUGUAAACGGUGGGUACUAGGUGUGGGGUCCAUUCCACGGGUUCCGUGCCGUAGCUAACGCUUUAAGUACCCCGCCUGGGGAGUACGGCCGCAAGGCUAAAACUCAAAGGAAUUGACGGGGCCCCGCACAAGCGGCGGAGCAUGCGGAUUAAUUCGAUGCAACGCGUAGAACCUUACCUGGGUUUGACAUGGAUCGGGAGCGCUCAGAGAUGGGUGUGCCUCUUUUGGGGUCGGUUCACAGGUGGUGCAUGGCUGUCGUCAGCUCGUGUCGUGAGAUGUUGGGUUAAGUCCCGCAACGAGCGCAACCCUUGUUCACUGUUGCCAGCACGUUAUGGUGGGGACUCAGUGGAGACCGCCGGGGUCAACUCGGAGGAAGGUGGGGAUGACGUCAAGUCAUCAUGCCCCUUAUGUCCAGGGCUUCACGCAUGCUACAAUGGCUGGUACAGAGAGUGGCGAGCCUGUGAGGGUGAGCGAAUCUCGGAAAGCCGGUCUCAGUUCGGAUUGGGGUCUGCAACUCGACCUCAUGAAGUCGGAGUCGCUAGUAAUCGCAGAUCAGCAACGCUGCGGUGAAUACGUUCCCGGG
rnacentral:rRNA from 1 species